rnacentral:lncRNA from 1 species
CUGCAAAAGGAUUUAGAUAUGAGCCACUGGUAGGCAACCAUCUUGUCAGCUGGAGGAAUGAGGGCUUCAGUCCUAAAGGGGGCUUUGGGUGUAGGUCUAGCCCAUACUCUGUGCUAACCACUCAACCUUCAGUAACCUGACUUUCUCUCUCCUGAGCUCCAGACUCUAUUUACAUUCAAUUUGGAGUUGGAAAAUCCCCUCUGGACAUCACAUAAGAGCCAAGAAAACAUUCAGAAUGAUUUGGCAGUGAAGCCAUCAGGACCUGGGCUUUUCUUAGUUGAACUGGGCAUCAAACUCAGGAACUUGCACUUGCCAGGCCAGCAUGGUGCCUCUGAGCUACAUCCCUGGUCCAACAUUAUUUUAUAGUAACAUUGUUUUAGGGCCUCUUAAUGGAGACUAUCUUUGCCUGGAUAAUUACUGGUGAACAGAGACCUUUAAAAUAUAGAAAAAUCAUGUUCACCUUCAGCCUUGGGGAUUGCUAAGUGACACACUGCUUGUCCAGCAGACAGUUAAGGGACAUUGUCCAUCAGAAAGGAAGGAAUAAUUUGAAGCCAGAGUAUAUAGCUGAAAUAAAGAGCAGAAGCCUUCCAGAAAGCAGGCAGCAAUACCAAGGAAUUGCUGUUUUGCCACAGGUAACUUUUCUGCACACAUUCUCCAGCAGUGUCACAGGGAAGGACUGGAAGAAAUGAGGCUGUGGG